AGAGUUUGAUCCUGGCUCAGGAUGAACGCUAGCGACAGGCUUAACACAUGCAAGUCGAGGGGUAACGUGUUGGAAGCUUGCUUCCGAUGACGACGACCGGCGGAUGGGUGCGUAACGCGUAUGCAACUUGCCUCACAGAGGAGAAUAACCCGGAGAAAUCCGGACUAAUGCUCCAUACACUCUUUAGCACGCCUGUGCGUAAGAGGAAAGAUUUAUCGCUGUGAGAUAGGCAUGCGUCCUAUUAGGUAGUUGGUGAGGUAACGGCUCACCAAGCCGACGAUAGGUAGGGGUGCUGAGAGGCAGAUCCCCCACAUUGGAACUGAGACACGGCCCAAACUCCUACGGGAGGCAGCAGUGAGGAAUAUUGGUCAAUGGAGGAAACUCUGAACCAGCCAAGUCGCGUGAAGGAAGAAUGUCCUAAGGAUUGUAAACUUCUUUAGCGAGUGAGUAAGGACUUCCACGCGUUGGGAGUUUGAAAGUAGCUCGAGAAUAAGUAUCGGCUAACUCCGUGCCAGCAGCCGCGGUAAUACGGAGGAUACGAGCGUUAUCCGGAUUUAUUGGGUUUAAAGGGUGCGCAGGUGGUCCUGCAAGUCAGUGGUGAAAAGCUGAGGCUCAACCUCAGCCUUGCCGUUGAAACUGCAAGACUUGAGAGUACAUGAUGUGGGCGGAAUGCGUAGUGUAGCGGUGAAAUGCAUAGAUAUUACGCAGAACUCCGAUUGCGAAGGCAGCUCACAAAGGUAUGUCUGACACUGAGGCACGAAAGCGUGGGGAGCAAACAGGAUUAGAUACCCUGGUAGUCCACGCCGUAAACGAUGAUUACUCGAAGUAUGCGAUAUACAGUAUGCUUCCAAGCGAAAGUGAUAAGUAAUCCACCUGGGGAGUACGCCGGCAACGGUGAAACUCAAAGGAAUUGACGGGGGCCCGCACAAGCGGAGGAACAUGUGGUUUAAUUCGAUGAUACGCGAGGAACCUUACCCGGGAUUGAAAUGUAUGUGCGCCUCUUGGGAAACCGAGAGGGUUCUCUUCGGAGACACAUAUGUAGGUGCUGCAUGGUUGUCGUCAGCUCGUGCCGUGAGGUGUCGGCUUAAGUGCCAUAACGAGCGCAACCCUUAUCGUCAGUUACUAACAGGUUAAGCUGAGGACUCUGGCGAGACUGCCGUCGUAAGACGAGAGGAAGGUGGGGAUGACGUCAAAUCAGCACGGCCCUUACAUCCGGGGCGACACACGUGUUACAAUGGUAGGUACAGAGAGUAGCCACUCGGCGACGAGGAGCGGAUCUUGAAACCCUAUCUCAGUUCGGAUCGGAGUCUGCAACUCGACUCCGUGAAGCCGGAUUCGCUAGUAAUCGCGCAUCAGCCAUGGCGCGGUGAAU
rnacentral:rRNA from 1 species